AAACAUAAAACAUAAACAUAUAUACGAGUCUCUAAAUUUCUUUACUUACAGUACUAAACAAAAGUACGAAACAGUAACCUCAAUCUCAGAGUCUAACUUCAAAAAUUUUCUCCAUAUCACUACUCACUCUGCAGCAUUAUCUUCAGUAUCUGAAGAGGUAUAGAAGGGAUGAGAUAAAAUAUCAUAAUAAGCGAUAUUAUAAAAAUCACAGCAUAGUACAUACAAUAUAUAAUUUUUUUUACACACAACAAAACAUAUAUCAUAUAAUCUUUCCAAAACAAACAUAUGAAUCAGAAGACAAAUGCACAAAUCAGAAAAAAGAUUCAUAAUUACUUCAUUGUAUACUUCAUCACCAUUAUAGAGGAUCAAUCAAUUACCAUAUAUUAUGUAUAAGCACACACACUUAUCUCUAGUUUCUCAAAUACCUGAACACGGACGACAUACGUAAGUACCUUGAAACACUACUAUCCUCCGAAUACAUAACGAUUAGGGCACGCAGAUCAGACUAUUUUUCCAUACACCCGAAUACGGAAUGGUUAUGUAUGGGUACACACUUAUCACUUGUCCAAUACACCCGAACAUAGAACAGUUAUGUAUGACCAUAUUGAAACCUAGCAUAAUGCAAGUGCUUUUGGAACAACUUUUUUCCAUAAUGAGUGAUGUACACAUAUCAAAAUCACAUUUCAAAAAUAAAAAACAAAAUAACACUUAUAUUGUAGUAAAACUUUAACAAAUACUUAAUUAGUAAAUGUAAAAGACAAUUCAAACACUUUCACUCUUUUAUAUUGAAACUACGUAAAAUACUUCAAAAUUACGUAGGCUAAUGAAUCCAUAAUAUCCACUUACUUUAGAUCCUCAACAAUCGUAAUCUUAAUUUCAGUAGAGUUCUAGCAAUAUUUAUGACAUUUUUCUUUCAAAAAUCUGGCAGAGUUUCGGGAUGAUUUUUGGUCACUUUCUUGACUUAAAAAUAUCCAACACAAUACCUAAAAACUAAUUCCAAAAAUUAAAGAAAAGUCGAAUUUCAAAACUUAAGAAAAGACUUACCUUUCUAACAGUUUAUAAUCUUUUUUUAAUCAUGAGCCUUCCUCCUCUUCUCUUCCUCUUCCUUUACUCUUAAGAAUUUAGUAGAAUUUUCCUAAGAUUUUUAUCUAAAACCUCAUAAUACUCUCAAAAAUCACAUACUUCAUACUCCUUUCCUCACCUCUAGCUUCUCACUACUUUCCCUCAUCCAGAAAUGUCUCUUCUUCCCUUCCCCCAUUCCCUAUUUAUAAGACUGGAGAGCCACAAGAGAAAAGUUAUCACCAUUCUGUCAUACCAUUUUAUCUAAAAGUUGCCACCUUUCAUUACGCUACUUCAUCUAAAAGGUUACCACUUUUUACAUGCUGCUUUAUUUAAAAGGUCUUUUCACAUGUCACUUCAUCUAAAAUGUUACCACUUUUCAUAUGCUACUUUAUCUAAAAAUUAUCACUUUCUGUUAUGUCACUUCAUUUAAAAGUUACCAUUUUUCACGUGUCACUUGAUCUAAAAGUUGUCACUUUCUGUUAUGUUAAUUCAUCUAAAAGUUACAACUUUUCAUUAUACCAUUCAUCUAAACGAUUCCCACCUUUUUCCAGGCCUCUUCAUGCUUAUUCCAACUAUUUCAUCCUUAUCUAUCCUUUUUUCGUUUGAUUUUAAACUAUGUUCUUAACCUUAUUAUACAUUUCUAAACACAUAUAAAGGUUAAAUUAAAUAUAAAAAAUUAAUUCAGAGGUAUUUUCGAGCUAUCACAACAUUGAUUAUGACUCAAAGCAGGUAAAUACCAGUAAGAUUGAAUACGUGCAUAUUUGGGUUACCUGUGUGGUUGGCUAGGACACUCUGAAAACUACUAUAAGCUUCUUAUCCAUCAAGGCCCCAAACCACUGCAACCGGAAUGGGAUGAUUCUAUCAAAGCAUAGUGUGUCAAAAGAACAUAUUGGUAAGCAAGUGGCUUAGAGAUGACAUAGGCAAAU
rnacentral:lncRNA from 1 species